rnacentral:rRNA from 1 species
UACGUAGGUGGCAAGCGUUGUCCGGAUUUACUGGGUGUAAAGGGCGUGCAGCCGGAGAGACAAGUCAGAUGUGAAAUCCACAGGCUCAACCUGUGAACUGCAUUUGAAACUGUUUUUCUUGAGUACUGGAGAGGCAGACGGAAUUCCUCGUGUAGCGGUGAAAUGCGUAGAUAUGAGGAGGAACACCAGUGGCGAAGGCGGCCUGCUGGACGGUGACUGACGCUGAGGCUCGAAAGCGUGGGGAGCAAACAGG